rnacentral:sRNA from 1 species
UUUAAGCUUCACCUUCAGCAAGGAAAUUGAAUAUAUCACUCUUAUAGAGAUAAGAGAUGCAGACAUGCAUGGCAGCACAGAUAAUACAAAGUGAGAGAAGCAGCAACAGCCAUUCAUUUGUCUUCAGCUUAUUCAUAUAAAAUAUACAGAGAUUUAGUCAUCAACAAGACUGCAGUCAGAUCAGAUGAUUGUAUUAUUGUGGCUUCUCAAAGUCAUUGAAUGUCUAUAUAGAACUCUGUCUCAAGGAUUGAUUGACAAGGCCACUGAUGCAGCUGUGUUGCAAUUCCAAACCUAGAUCCACAUGUACAGCUUUACAGAGAAUGAGGCAUUUUUGUCAUUGACUCAAAAUACAGUAUAUCCUCUGCUCUGAUAUCAGACAAAAAAAAAAGAAAAGAAAAGAUAAGAAAAGAGAAGGAAAAAAGACUGACAGUCUGAGAACAGCAAUGAAUGUGAUGAAUUAAGAGUGUGUAAAGAAUGAAAGAACAGUGGAAAGAAACUGAAGAAUGAAAACAGUAAACCACAGAAGAACAAGAGUACAAGAGUAUGAUGAGAGUUAUCAAGACAAUGGAUUGUUGUAAAAGUAGUUGAGCUAUGGCAGAUUGAGUAACUUCAUUCAGCAUGGUGGUGAUGGCAGUGAGUCAGCCCAGCAUUUGUUAAGAGAAGAAGAGAUACAGAUGUCAGAGUUUGAUGAUCAUCAAUGAAGAGAGGGAAACAAGGAAAGGCUG